ACUGCACGUUGGUACAUUUAAGUUUUGGUCAAUUUUAAGUUUGGAAAUAUACGUGGCAGCGUCUUCAGCAAUCAGGAAACAUUUGGAACCAAGAGCACAGCAUAUGUUACUCCAUUGCUGCCUGUCCUGCACAAAGAAUCAGAUUUUCUUCAACUGUGCCAGCAAAGGAAUACUGAAGAGGGCAGAAGUCAGUCAGAGCUGACAACACACCAACACAGGACGAAUGGCUACGGUUUUUGCAAUGCAGCAAACAGCUUGCUACUCUCCCAUGAGCACUAGGAGGCAUUCUGUCUUUGAAAAGAUGUGAGUAGAAGAGUACCUCUCCUUGAUUCCUUACUAAAAUAAAUCAACCAGGAAGAAGCAGCUCAUACCCUCUCA